GAUGAAGAACGCAGCGAAAUGCGAUAAGUAAUGUGAAUUGCAGAAUUCAGUGAAUCAUCGAAUCUUUGAACGCACAUUGCGCCCUUUGGUAUUCCAAAGGGCAUGCCUGUUCGAGCGUCAUUUGUACCCUCAAGCUUUGCUUGGUGUUGAGCGUCUUGUCUCUAGCUUUGCUGGAGACUCGCCUUAAAGUAAUUGGCAGCCGGCCUACUGGUUUCGGAGCGCAGCACAAGUCGCACUCUCUAUCAGCAAAGGUCUAGCAUCCAUUAAGCCUUUUUUUUCAACUUUUGACCUCGGAUCAGGUAGGGAUACCCGCUGAACUUAAGCAUAUCAAUAAGCGGAGGA
rnacentral:misc_RNA from 1 species